rnacentral:rRNA from 1 species
CGGACGGGUGAGUAACACGUGGAUACCCUACCUAUAAGACUGGGAUAACUUCGGGAAACCGGAGCUAAUACCGGAUAAUAUAUUGAACCGCAUGGUUCAAUAGUGAAAGACGGUUUUGCUGUCACUUAUAGAUGGAUCCGCGCCGCAUUAGCUAGUUGGUAAGGUAACGGCUUACCAAGGCAACGAUGCGUAGCCGACCUGAGAGGGUGAUCGGCCACACUGGAACUGAGACACGGUCCAG